CAGCAGUGGGGAAUAUUGCACAAUGGGGGAAACCCUGAUGCAGCGACGCCGCGUGGAGGAAGAAGGUUUUCGGAUUGUAAACUCCUGUCGUUAGGGACGAUAAUGACGGUACCUAACAAGAAAGCACCGGCUAACUACGUGCCAGCAGCCGCGGUAAAACGUAGGUCACAAGCGUUGUCCGGAAUUACUGGGUGUAAAGGGAGCGCAGGCGGGAAGACAAGUUGGAAGUGAAAUCUAUGGGCUCAACCCAUAAACUGCUUUCAAAACUGUUUUUCUUGAGUAGUGCAGAGGUAGGCGGAAUUCCCGGUGUAGCGGUGGAAUGCGUAGAUAUCGGGAGGAACACCAGUGGCGAAGGCGGCCUACUGGGCACCAACUGACGCUGAGGCUCGAAAGCAUGGGUAGCAAACAGGAUUAGAUACCCUGGUAGUCCAUGCCGUAAACGAUGAUUACUAGGUGUUGGAGGAUUGACCCCUUCAGUGCCGCAGUUAACACAAUAAGUAAUCCACCUGGGGAGUACGACCGCAAGGUUGAAACUCAAAGGAAUUGACGGGGGCCCGCACAAGCAGUGGAGUAUGUGGUUUAAUUCGAAGCAACGCGAAGAACCUUACCAGGUCUUGACAUCCGAUGCAUAGCACAGAGAUGUGUGAAAUCCUUCGGGACAUCGAGACAGGUGGUGCAUGGUUGUCGUCAGCUCGUGUCGUGAGAUGUUGGGUUAAGUCCCGCAACGAGCGCAACCCUUAUUGCCAGUUACUACGUUAAGAGGACUCUGGCGAGACUGCCGUUGACAAAACGGAGGAAGGUGGGGAUGACGUCAAAUCAUCAUGCCCUUUAUGACUUGGGCUACACACGUACUACAAUGGCGUUAAACAAAGAGAAGCAAGACCGCGAGGUGGAGCAAAACUCAGAAACAACGUCCCAGUUCGGACUGCAGGCUGCAACUCGCCUGCACGAAGUCGGAAUUGCUAGUAAUCGUGGAUCAGCAUGCCACGGUGAAUACGUUCCCGGGCCUUGUACACACCGCCCGUCACACCAUGAGAGCCGGGGGGACCCGAAGUCGGUAGUCUAACCGCAAGGAGGACGCCGCCGAAGGUAAAACUGGUGAUUGGGGUGAAGUCGUAACAAGGUAGCCGUAGGAGAACCUGCGGCUG
rnacentral:rRNA from 1 species